GCUGUGGCUGAAGGAAGCUGUAGUUCUUGUGUUUCUGCUCGUCUCUUUUUUCUGUUCUCUUCUUUCCUUCAGUGAUUCUGCUUGUUAACAGGCUUAUUAAGGCUCAGAUGACUCUAUAAAUAAUAUAUAAAGAUUUUGUGGCUCCAGUUCUGGUUUAUUUCUUUGCUCUUGGCCGAUAUGUAGCAUUGCUAUGGCCUGCUUAUGACUCAGAUCUGGUAAACAGGAGCAAUCUGACCAAGUGCCAUCAUUCCACGCCACAUGUGACCCAGAUCAUCAUACCACGCCUGGCGGAUUUGGGCCUGUGCUAUCAGGUCUCUCCGCCCCCUGACACUGAAAUGAAACAACAUCAGUUUCUGUUCAUAUAAAGACGUGUCAGAGUGCGAACACUACCAUCGUUUCGGCAAGUGUAAAAGAGUCUUGGAGGAUCUUGGAGGUCUUUCUAUCACUACAGAGAUCUUUCUGCUUGUUGUUCUCUCAUUAUUGUCAGGAACAGGAUGAGGACCCUGCAUGAUUUGUCUGAUCUGAGAGAGUCCAGGUUUGGUCAGCCGCCUCCCAGACAUGGUCUGAACUUGUUGUGGUGGUUUGCUUAUGAUUGUGUUCAGAUUGACUUCAAUCAAAGUAUGAUUGCUCGCUGCAACCCUGAAAAUGGAGCUUUUGGUUUCCACCGGUUCUAUAAUGCUGGUGGACUUCUCCCUUACUCUAAUCUCCCAUACUAUGAGGUGGGAAACCUGAACACCACUGGCUCACUGCCACAUUAUGUCACUGAGAAAUACACAGGAUGGUCAGAUGAAAGCAACACUGAUCGCAUUAUUGUCUCCUUUGACUCAAGGUGGAACAGGUUUAACAGCAUUUUUGUGACACGACACUCAGAUCUUGUGAGAUUUGACCAGAAUCACACUUACUGCAUUAGCAUUCAUCUUCUGAAAGAAGUUAAAGGGUUAAACCAUGCAGAAUUCCUCAGAAAAACUACGAAUGCUCAAAGUCCUUAUCAGAUGUAUUUCCAUCAAAAUUCCAACAUAUACUCACAGUUUAGACCUUCACAUCAGUCACUGCAGGGUCAAAGUUCACACCAAUCUACAUUGGGUGACUGUGAAUGGAGCGCUAUUUUGCUUUUUGUGCUGUUCAUUUUUGCCUGUUUGUUUGUAUUUUUAAUGAAAAAAUAGUUUGUCUAGCUAAUUUGAAAACAAAUUUGAUGAAUACACAUCAAAUUGUCUUUACAUAGAUUUACAAUAUGAUGUUGAGCAUUCCAUGUUUCUUUUGAAAGAUUGUUACAGUAAUUAAAACGUAGAGUGACCAAAUGUAUACCUUUAAGAUUUGAUAUUAAUAUUCAUAUUAAUCUGAAUAUUUACUAUAACUAUGCAUCCUCUCAAAAUGCAUGGUUUAUUGUAAUUAAGCUUCUCUAGUUCUGUGACAUAUUUCAUAUAUUCUGUGUAGUAUCAAAUCUCCAAAAACCACUUGAUUGUAUGUUUGUGUGAUGAAAUAUAAAUCUUAAUGCGUAUAUGUAAUGCGAAAUAUUAAUGUGUGAAUAUAAAUAUGACAUUAUACCGUUUAAUCUAAGGUAGAUUUAAUGUAAAUCCCCUCAUGAACUGUCCCACCUGCUCUAGUGUGUUCCUGCAUCAGUUUCUCUUUCCACACUGAUGAGCUUCUGUUCAUCACUAUAGCAACAGACAAACACAAACAACCUGUGGGACAACUAGUGUGUGUUACUAUAGAGUAGUUCGUUCAUUAGUUCAGUGACUUCAGCAAAUAUGCAUUGUUAUCAAUGAUGCAUUCAGAAGACCUUUUAAUGUUUUGCUAAGUAAGAUGUCUUAAUAAUUAAAGAUGCAACAACAAAUUGGAUAUCAAUUUAUUAGACUUUUUAAAAUAACGUUAUUGAAUAUCCAACAUAUCUUAAAAUAUGUCAGUGUCAUUGUUUUGUCUCAAGAUCCACACUCGUAAUGUUGUUUUUCUAAGGUAUAUUUAUAAACUACUUAAAGGCCUAAUCCUGGCUUAGUCUAAGCUCUGUCUGUAAAACUGGGCCUUUAACUGUUAGAUACAUUUGUCAAGAUUAAGACCUCUGAUGCUGAGCAAAAAUUGCAGUAUUUUAUUUUUUACAGGGAAUGAGCAAAAUAUCUGGAAAUAAAAAGAUUACUGCAAUGGCAUAGUAAAGAGUAAUGAAAUCAAAAUAUGAUUCGAACUAUGUCCAGAGUGUGUGUGUGUCUAUGCAGAGUGUGUUUCCUCAUGUUAUUUUGAACACACUCACACUGCUGUCUGUCUGCUUCAGUUUCUGUUUCCUAGAUAGUCAGCUGACCUCUCUCUCCCUCCCUCCCUGUUGAACUACAGAAAAACUAAGUGCCAUGAUAAUGCAUGAAGGUCCAAGUUUGUGUUUUUCACCGCCCACUAACACACACAUGAAGAAUAAAGUGAGCGCGUGAGCUGCACAGACGCAGAUCUUCUUACAGCGCGUGAACAAGACACAGAAUGGUUCGACUGAGAACACUGAAUGAACUGGCCCAUCUGAGAGAGACCCGGUUCGGUCAGCCGUAUCCCAGACAUGGUCUCAUUCUGCUGUGGUGGUUUGCUGAUGAAUGUGUUGAAAUUGAUGAAGACGGCAAUAUGAUUGCACAAUGCGACCCUGAAGAUAGAGAUUUUGGCUUCCAUCCAUUCCAUAAUUCAGAAGAACUUCUUCCUGAUUCUGGCCUUCCUUACUAUGAAAUGGGCAACCUGCACCAUCCAGGCGCAAUGCCUCAUUAUGUUACUAAGAAUUAUGACCAUGAUGUACGUGAGAGCAAUGCAGAUCGUAUUGUUGUCUCAGUCAAUUCAGACUGGAAUGACAAAUGGUUUGACAGGAUUUACGUGACACAUCACUUAGGGCAGGGCCGCUUCGAUGAGAACAGCACCUUCCGCAUCAGCCAAGGCCUCAUUGAGAUCAUUCAGGGCAUGGAAUGGUCAGAUUUCAUUGGGGAAGUUAAGAUCAGGCAGCGCCGUAAUCGGCGUCGUCGUUGAGCUCAUGUUAUUAUGUGUGUAUGAUCAUCUAUGCAGUCUGGAUCCUACAGACACUCAAAGUUGAAAUCAAACAUUCCUGUUCAUCCUAAAUAAAUGCCUUAAACAGCAA